AUAUUAAGAAAAAUGACCAUAAAAUAACGAAACAAAAGAAAAGAGAAAUUUGAUGGAACGAGAAAAGCACACACCGAAUGAGAAACACUCGGUUGAGUAGUAAAAAUCAAAGAAAAAAAGAACUGAGUAACAGAACUGAAAAGGAAAAGAUAGGGAAAAGAUAUGUUAGAACAAACACAAUGAAAAUAAUAAUGACAUUGACUUUGAACCCAAAAACAUUUGUUUUUCC
rnacentral:lncRNA from 1 species